AGAGUUUGAUCCUGGCUCAGGAUGAACGCUAGCGGCAGGCCUAACACAUGCAAGUCGAGGGGUAAUCCCGCCUUCGGGCGGGAACGACCGGCGAACGGGUGCGUAACGCGUAUGCAAUCUGCCCACUGCUGGGGGAUAGCCCGAAGAAAUUUGGAUUAACCCCCCAUGGUACGGCGACUCCGCAUGGGGUUGUCGUUAAAGUUUACGGCAGUGGAUGAGCAUGCGUCCCAUUAGCUAGUUGGUGAGGUAACGGCUCACCAAGGCUGCGAUGGGUAGGGGUCCUGAGAGGGAGAUCCCCCACACUGGUACUGAGACACGGACCAGACUCCUACGGGAGGCAGCAGUGAGGAAUAUUGGACAAUGGGGGCAACCCUGAUCCAGCCAUGCCGCGUGCAGGAAGACGGCCCUACGGGUUGUAAACUGCUUUUGUACGGGAAGAACUCCCCGCUCGUGAGCGGGGCUGACGGUACCGUAAGAAUAAGCACCGGCUAACUCCGUGCCAGCAGCCGCGGUAAUACGGAGGGUGCAAGCGUUAUCCGGAAUCAUUGGGUUUAAAGGGUCCGCAGGCUGGGCGGUAAGUCAGUGGUGAAAUGCAGGGGCUCAACCCCGGCACUGCCAUUGAUACUGCCGUUCUUGAAUCGUCGUGAAGUGGCCG
rnacentral:rRNA from 1 species